rnacentral:rRNA from 1 species
CGCGUAGGCGGGAUGGCAAGUCGGUCGUAGAAAUCCUUCGGCUCAACCGAAGAACGUCGAUCGAUACUGCUGUUCUUGAGGGUUGCAGAGGAGACUGGAAUUCCCGGUGUAGCGGUGAAAUGUGUAGAGAUCGGGAGGAACACCGGUGGCGAAGGCGGGUCUCUGGGCAAUCCCUGACGCUGAGGCGCGAAAGCGUGGGGAGCAAACGGGAUUACGAUACCCCGGUAGUCCACGCUGUAAACGAUGACGACUAGGUGUGGGGGGUUCAGUCCCCUCCGUGCCGCAGCUAACGCAUUAAGUCGUCCGCCUGGGGAGUACGGCCGCAAGGUUGAA